UCAAAAUGUUAAAUAGUAAAGGAAAGUACAGAUACCCUUUUCAAGUAUUUUUACUUAAGUACUUUACACCACUGAUUUUGGUCUGGCUUUUUGAGAGGUUUCAGAGAUGGACUUAUUAUCAUCCUCUCUUGAGUCAACAGUGUGCUUACUUUACUACAGGAAGGAGUUGAUCUGUUUGCUGUUACCCUCUGGAAAGCAGAUCAUUAGUAUAGCUAGUAGGCAAGGUUAUGUAAUGUUAUUUAGUCCUGUCUGCUAUGGUGGGUUUUAAAUUAAUUGGUAUUCACAUGUUAGUUUUUCUUUUAGGUAGAAUUACUGUCAUGUUAUUGAUACCAAAUUGCAAACCUUCUUUGCACCUUUUCUAUUCCAGAACCAAUGGGUGUGCCUGAGUCUUAUCACCUCUCAACUAGGUCAGCUGUUUCAACCUGGAACGCUGUGCUCCUGCUUUGGUCUGUUUCAGUCAUUGCAGGAAGUCCUGUGAAGGGUUUUGUCCCAGCCCAGCUCUAACACCUGACUUAAAUAAUCAAAAUAAUGAAUCACCGCGAUAGGCUAUGUUUUGUAAUCAGGUAUGAGCUCGGCUGGAACAAAAGCUUAUACAGUCCUGCUAUUUGUAUCUGGAUCUGUCCACCCAUUUAAGUAAUUAUUCUGUACUAUGGGAACAGUUGAACUUGUUAACUGAUACCAAUGCGGCCGCUGCUAAAAAGCACGGAGCAGCUAUGGACCAGAAGACUGCAGCCAAGGCAGCACUGGUCCACACCUGCCUUGUCUGUUGGAGUAAAUACAAACCCGAAGACGUUCAAGCAGCACUCUGAGAGCAAGCAUCCCAAGUCUCCAAUGGUCCCAGUACUGGUUGAUGUGCGGGCCUAAGCGACCACACACACUGAAAUGGACCUACAUCCGGGGGAGAAGAUCCAGACCUGUGCUCUCAAAAUUCACCAAAGGAAUGUGCUUUGUCUCAACAGACUUGUUCCCGCUGAAACUCUUAACACUUUCAAAAGCGAAUACUGGACAAUAUUUCUAACGUAGAAUGUGGGGAAUGGUCAGAGGCGAUCUACAGAACACUAAUGCCGUUUUGUAUGCUAUUUUGUGAUGUCAUUAAAAAUGUUAUAAAGGAAAUACUGUAACUUGGAAAGUAUACCCACUACAUGGAUGAAGUUUCCAUACUAUGGGUUGUGCAUGUAAUAUGAAAAAUUAUGAACGUGUUUUUGUUAAGAGAGGGAUGUGAUUUGAAAAGUUAUAAUAGAGAAUUGUUUCCAUAACUUUGCACACCGCCCGGAGUGACGUCAUGGAGCAUGCCAGCCUGCCAGAACCGCCAGUUUCGUGCAAAAGUUAUAAAUGAUGGGUUAUGAAUUAGCACAUGGGACCAGAAAAGUGUGAAGCUGCAGCUGCGUGUUUAAAAUGGUUUGAACUUUGAAUCUCAAGUCGAGGUGGAGACAAUAAACUCACCUCCCAGAAAAUCACUGGUACGGCUGAUUGGCUGUCCUAAGUAAAGUAUCUUCAAAAGCGAAUUUAAGUAGGACCAACCAGUUACUCUGCUCAAACCAUCGUAUAUAAGUUAUCGUGAUUUGACUUUAACAUUAAUCUGAAGACUGUUAUUUAUCUAAUUAACUAUGUUUAAUUGUUACCCGAUUAAAUGAAUCAUGUAAAACAUAACUCAUUAGGAUCUGGGGCACCACGAGCGCGGUUCUUUAAAACUUUUUAAAUGUGCACAUACACAGACACACACACAUGUAAAUAGGGCCAUACAUGCACUCAAACAUUCAGUUGGCCUUGCUUGUUAUGAUUUUUUGUUGUCCUUGGUGUCUUUUGUUUUCUGCAUUGUUGUUUUCUGUUUUUCCUUUGUCUUUCUCUUAUUUCUCUUUUGUUCUUUUUCCUGGUUAUUGGGAAAGGGGUGGUGGAAUUAUUAUUUUAAAAUCUUAUUUUCUCGGGGAGGGGGGGUCUCAGAUGGUUGAGGGGCAGCUCUUGGGUAACUGUGGGGAGGGGGAUCUUGGACGGCGGUUGGAAACUUGGGCCGGUGGCUGAUGGAUCGUUGGUUCGGGUCCCCGUUUUUGACUUUGUGGAACAUCUGUCGACGUGCCCUUGAGCUGGCCGUUGACCCUGGUUGCUUCUGUGUGUCGCUCUGGAUGGGAGUCUUUUAGAUGACUAAUGUGAUGUUGUUGUUGAGCAGCUUCCCUGCAAAUAUAUUAUAUGUUUUAAAUAUUCAAUAAAAAAUCAUAAUUUAAA